AUACGUAGGGGGCGAGCGUUGUCCGGAAUGAUUGGGCGUAAAGGGCGCGUAGGCGGCCCGGUAAGUCUGGAGUGAAAGUCCUGUUUUUAAGAUGGGAAUUGCUUUGGAUACUGUCGGGCUUGAGUGCAGGAGAGGUAAGUGGAAUUCCCAGUGUAGCGGUGAAAUGCGUAGAGAUUGGGAGGAACACCAGUGGGGAAGGCGACUUACUGGACUGUAACUGACGCUGAGGCGCGAAAGUGUGGGGAGCAAACAGGAUUAGAUACCCUGGUAGUCCACACUGUAAACGAUGAAUGCUAGGUGUAGGGGGUAUCGACCCCUUUUGUGCCGGAGUUAACACAAUAAGCAUUCCGCCUGGGGAGUACGGCCGCAAGGUUGAAACUCAAAUGAAUUGACGGGG
rnacentral:rRNA from 1 species